rnacentral:rRNA from 1 species
GAUGAACGCUGGCGGCGUGCCUAAUACAUGCAAGUCGAGCGAACAGACGAGGAGCUUGCUCCUCUGACGUUAGCGGCGGACGGGUGAGUAACACGUGGAUAACCUACCUAUAAGACUGGGAUAACUUCGGGAAACCGGAGCUAAUACCGGAUAAUAUAUUGAACCGCAUGGUUCAAUAGUGAAAGACGGUUUUGCUGUCACUUAUAGAUGGAUCCGCGCCGCAUUAGCUAGUUGGUAAGGUAACGGCUUACCAAGGCAACGAUGCGUAGCCGACCUGAGAGGGUGAGCGGCCACACUGGAACUGAGACACGGUCCAGACUCCGACGGGAGGCAGCAGUAGGGAAUCUUCCGCAAUGGGCGAAAGCCUGACGGAGCAACGCCGCGUGAGUGAUGAAGGUCUUCGGAUCGUAAAACUCUGUUAUUAGGGAAGAACAAAUGUGUAAGUAACUAUGCACGUCUUGACGGUACCUAAUCAGAAAGCCACGGCUAACUACGUG